rnacentral:lncRNA from 1 species
CAGGUGGGCGGGGCCAGCGCCGGGAAGCCCCGCCCCAGCCGGGCUCGCGUCCGGUGCGGAGGGAUUCUCUUGACUCCACGUGGAAAGCCGGCCGGGGGUCGGGUCCGGAGGGCGUAGGGGGCAUAUCCUCCCCGGAUCCCGACGGCGCCAGGCCUCGCAGGGCCGGCUGGAAGAGCCAGGGGCCAGGACCGCUGCUGCCGCCAGGGGACUAGAGACCCCGCUGGGCGCCCCUGGGUGCUGGCGGGGGCGGACCCGCGGGGCUCGGCGCGUGAGGUCGCCUGCCGCCCCUUCCUCGUCCGACCGCCGGGACGUCGCCGGCCAGAGUGACAGCGCCCGGGACCCUGGACCGAGGCGGGGGGAACAAACAGCGGGCCCGGGGCAGAGGGGCCUCCGGCAUUUGAGCUAAAACCUGAAAGUUACAACCAGUGAGACAUCCGUAGACCGAUGAAGUGCCCUCUGCACAGCACACCAGGACACCUGAGAGAUCCAUACGUCUGCACAUCCGAAGGUGGGUCGACUGGAUCCUGUGGAGGCAGUGAAACCAGAGAAGCAUUGGUGGCAGCUCCCAAACCAGAGGCUCCAGGAACCACAGUGGCACCCACAGCUCAACCCCCUUGCCCCUGGCAGUGGCAGCAGCACCUGCAGCCCUGGCCUUCCUGGCUGCAGGGGAUGCAUCUGAGGCCCUGGUGCAGCCACAGCAGCAGCACCUGUGACCUGAUGUUCCAGAGACUGCAAUGGUGGUUAGAGCCAGAGCUUCAGAAAUCACUACAGCGUCUGCAACCUGAGGCUUCAGGAAUCAAAGUGGUGCCUGUGAUGUGGGUAUCGCACCCUGUGGUGGUGGCAGUGGUGCCUUCGACCCCGGCCUGCCUGGCAGUGGCGGUGGUGCUUGUGAAUUUGGCACCCUCAGCAGCAGCAGUGCCACCACCCCUAGAAAACCUGGUAACAGCAGCAGAGGCAACACAAGUGACUCUGGCCCCCCGGCUACAGGGAACUGGGCAGCAGUGGCAGCAGAGCCCGUAACCCCAGUUCUCUCUAGCUGCAGUGGUGCCUGCAACCUGACCCCCCCAUCCAUGGUGGUGAUGGCACCUGUGAACCCAACAAUCCUGGACACAGUGGAGGCACCUGCUACCUCAGCUCCUGCCCCAUCUUCCCUCAUGACCUAGAUGACCCCAGAAGCAGCAGAGGUUCUCGCCAGCCUGGUGACCCCAGUAGUGGUGCCCCUGACCCCAACAACACUGGCAGCAGCAAGGCACCAGUGACCUUGGAGGCAAAAGCAGCAACAACGAGAGCACCGACACCACCUCUGGAAGAGGCAGUAGAGGGUGGAAGGCACUGGUUCUCAGCUAUAACCAGAGGCAGCU